UGAGCAACCGAGUGAGACCCUGUCUCUAAAUAAAGAAAUAAACGUAAUACAUGUUUUUGGUAUAAAAUUUGGAAAACAAAAAAAAGUAAAGAAGAAAAUUAAGCCCACUCAACCAAUGUGGGACUGGGCAUGAUGGAUAUGCCACCUGGGUUUUGGAAGUAGUAUUUUUGGAGAUCCUGGUUGGCUUGUGGAGAGGAGGGGCUCAGCAGAUGGUUAACAAGUCCCCCUCAGCUGGCCAUCUGCUGGCUCAUUCAGCAGAUGUGUUCUGAAGGCCCAAAUUGAAAGGGAGAAUACCUGAGGACACAUAGGCCCCAGCCUGCCCAGCCUGCUUGGUAAAUUGGCCACAAUCUGAUCCUCUGCCUCACGCACACUCCUUUUAGGAGUGUGACAAGAUGAAACUGUAGAAAUCAAUGUCAGGGCUUAGGUAUUACUUCUGUGGUUUGUGACUUCUCUUGCAGAAUUCACGUAUUUCAUGGUGUUGGACUCAGGUAACCUAGGGCAUCUCUCCCCACUCUUGCCUACCCAUGCCUCUGCCCUCUGCCCUGGACUCCACUGAGGUUGGCUUCCGUGGUCUGCCUCUUACUGACCUCCUGGGUUUCUCCUUGACCCUUUGGGUUGACAAGUGAAUGCUUCCCGACUCCCACUGUCCAGGCCCAGGGGCCUGGGAGCUAUUCUGGACUCAGAGGUGAUGUGUCCAUCCCCUAAGGUCCUUGAUCAUCUCAUAACUGACCUCUGAGGCCAGGUUUUGAUGUCAUGUUCUCGGCCGUGUGCCCCCUAUCCUGAGCACCACAUCCUGCGGUGCGCAGGGGGAGUGGGGGACAGGCGGGUCUCAGCAGCACAGCGUCUCCACACACUCAGUUCACAAAGCGUCUCCAAAUCCAUUCGCAAGGAAGUAAGGUGCUUGCCAAAGUGCUGGGCACGGGGUGGUACAGUGAAGACUCACCAGGACUUUGUAUAAGCAGCCCUGAAGCAGGAGACUAGGAGUAGAGGAGUUUAAUUAGCCACACGAAAAUGAGGAGAAUAAGGAAAGAAAGGAGAAGAGAAGGCAGAUCUGGGGUUUGAACCCAGUGUCAUCCACUCUGAAACUUCCCACGUUGCCCACUGCACUCCAGUGCCUUGAAGGGACUAGUACCCAGGGGGCUUUGCAGGCCAUGUCUGUUAUCCAUUAUUCCCAUUGAAUGUCCUAAGUAACAGAGGGUAAAACAUUGGGAUUUACAAAUAAAUCCAGGGAGGAAUGAGACAGGACCAUGGAGGGACAGCUUGGAUUGUUUUUGUCUUUCUUCAAAGAUCCCACGGGCUGGAUCGACCAGGGUACCAGAUGAAUGGUUUAAGAGCCCCAGUGAGACCAACAGCCAUGUAGAGAGGCCAUUUGCUUGGGCCCUGUAGUUUCCAGAUACCUUCCAGGAGGUGCACCCUCCGCAGACCGUAGAUCCACUCACUCAACCAUCACCCACCCGUCCAGCACAAGGGCCGCCUCGGUCCUGGCAUAGCUGUCCAAAGGGUGCACUGAACAGCUGCUGACAAAGGGUCAUUGUAACCCCAGUGGUCAGGAGUUCAAAGCCAGCCUCAAUAAAAGCAAGGCACUGAGUGACUCAGUGAAAACCUGUCUCUAAAUAAAAUACCAAAUAGGGCAGGAGAUGUGGCUCAGUGGGUGAGUGCCCCUCAGUUCAAUCCCUGGUACCCCCCGCCAAAAAAAGAAAGGGUCACUGAGCUCAUGGAGUCCGAGUCCACAAGUGGGAGGUCAAAGAAAAUAGUAGCAGGGCUUACAGGAGUGGCCUGUCACUUUCCAGGAAGCCAUCUGAGUGCAGGGCCGACCUUCCCCAGCACCGGAACUGCUAAAGAUGUGUGUGUUGUGUCCCCCUGUGCUGACCUAAAGCACGGUGAGGGUGUGAGUGUAGAGACUUGGGAAACUGCAGAGGACCCAGCACUGCUGCUCCUGUGGUGUGGCUUUCGAUGGCUUCUUAUUCUUUUCUUCUGUCUUUUAGACUGUGGGAUUCUAGAACACACAGAGUCCAGCCUUGUGACCAAAGAGUGUUUAUGGCAGUGAAUUAAUCUGUUCCUUCUGGGUUCCCAGCAAUGGCACAGGCCUUCUGUAAGCUGUGUAGGAAUUCUGUAAGGAGCUGUUUCUGUCACUGGCACAAAGUGUGCACAGCAAAGAUGUCCAGGACAGGAGCUUCUGCAGCCAUGUGUGUGUGUGUGUGUGUGUGUGUGCACAAGGGUGCACAUCGAAUGCAUGCAGCAUUGUGUGUGUGUGGCAUGAGAACAGGGCUGAACGCCAGACUGCUGUGUCGGAAGAGGGUCAAGUGUCCUCACUAAUUCUGUGCCUCAGGCUCUUGGUAACCAAGACUGCUUAUUCUGUCUCCAAACCACAUUCAGAACCAGCUGACCAGGACAGAUUCCCUUGGACAUGUGCCAUUCUUAAAGCCAAAUCAUUCUUUUAGGAGAAAAAGACAGAGAAAUGACUAUGAAAGUGCUAAGUUUAAGCCGAGAGUGGCGGCACACAGGUGUGAUCUGAUUCAGGAGGCUGACGGGAAGAUCCCAAGUUCGAGGCCAGCUUCAGCAACUUAGCAAGACUCUGUCUCAAAAUAAAAAACAAAAAGAACUGGGGGUGUAGCUCAGUGGUAGAGUACCCCUGGGUUCAAUCCCCAGUACCAGGGCAGGUUGCCAAUUUUAGAAGAAAAUUUAUGUAAGCAUGAAGAAGGAAAUUAGAACAUGCCAAGAGGCAGCAAAGGUCAGGAAUCAAGUUAAAGAUGUGGCUUCUGCCCUCCACAGGUCUUUUUCCUUCUUGGGGAGGUGAGGGCACCUGCCCUCAGAACCAGCACAACAUAGUCCAUCCUGAAACGUGUGGGGCAGCCGGUUCCCCUUGGGUGGGGAAAAGACUUCACUUGCCCCAAGGGGAACCUGGGCUGUGUAAGGGAAAGAACAGUGGCCCAGGAGUGGGGUGCAUGCAGGGGCUUGUCUGGGGCUUGGGCCUGCACAGGACUUCUCAAGUUGUAGUUUCUCCCUCUGUAAAUGGGAAUCAUGAGACCCGGCUCCCAUAUGACAGAGGGACUGGAUGGGUCCAAUGGGAGUGCUGCCAGCUCUUUGCAAGAUUACCAAGGCACCACACUUGUUGCCAUGGAAAAUGCAGAAGGCGGAGGGUCUGAGCUCAGAUACUGGCUCUGGCCUGUAUGGCUGAAGAACUGGGCACCACCCAUUCAUUUUUCAUAACCUGGUCUGGAAUGGAGAUGAUGAGCCCCAGAGGGUAAAGGAGGCUUGGCCAAAGUCAGAUGUGAAGGAGCUUUGAAAUGCAACAGAGCGCUGUCCACCCAGAGGCCAUGGUGAAACUCCAGCUUUGGACUGGGCCAUCUUCAGGGCCCACCUCGCAACAGAACCCUAAGUGGAAGGUGUAUUUUGGAAGAGGCAGGCAGAGGGUGAUUAUGUGGGUCAGUUCUUGGACAGGCUUCUCUCAGGAAAACAAAUGGGCAACUCAAAAGCAUACUCUGCCAGUGUCCUUGCUAACCUGGUUGCUGAGUCUGCUUAGCUCCACUCAGAACCCUCCCCGCCUCUGUGGUCUCUAGAGUAUUUCCAAUUCCACUGACCUGGUAGGCCUUUCCUUCCAACCCUGGGGUAUUUCCAAGGACGCUGUGUCCUCUCAAUAAAGGAGGUCUGUCCACAGGGGUCAGAACUUCACUGUCACUGAUCCUGCUCAGGAAAGACCUGUGCAGACCUGAAUGGAGAGGGAUUUGCAUGGUCAAACCAACCAGCCAUGGGAUCAUGUUUUGCCCUUGCACAGAGCACUUCAGGGCCUCUGGAACAUUUCCCUUCUUACAUCCCAGUUCUUUCCCUCUACAACAUCCCAGGAAGGAAGAGUGAGCAAGAAAUAGAGCAGGUAGGGAGGAGGAGAUACAGCCCGUUGGGGGGGGGGGGUGAAGCCCUGGGUGAUGCAGAGUACGUCCAUGGUGUUGGCUAAUUAGACAAUAUUUAUAAUUGGGUUUUAUAUAUUUAAUAAUUUGUGUUUAUGUAUAUUGUAUAAUUUGUAUAUAUUUAAU
rnacentral:lncRNA from 1 species